GACAGAGGGUGCAAACGUUGUUCGGAAUUACUGGGCGUAAAGCGUGUGUAGGCUGCUCCGAUAGUCGGAUGUGAAAGCCCUGGGCUCAACCUAGGAAGUGCAUUCGAUACUCCGGAGCUUGAGUCCUGGAGAGGAAGGCGGAAUUCUCGGUGUAGAGGUGAAAUUCGUAGAUAUCGAGAGGAACACCGGUGGCGAAGGCGGCCUUCUGGACAAGUGACUGACGCUGGAUGCGCGAAAGCGUGGGUAGCAAACAGG
rnacentral:rRNA from 1 species